rnacentral:rRNA from 1 species
ACUACGGGGGGCAGCAGUGAGGAAUAUUGGUCAAUGGCCGCGAGCCUGAACCAGCCAAGUCGCGUGAGGGAAGACGGCCCUACGGGUUGUAAACCUCUUUUAUCAAGGAGUAAAGUGCAGCUCGUGUGCUGCUGUGAGUGUACCUGAAGAAUAAGCAUCGGCUAACUCCGUGCCAGCAGCCGCGGUAAUACGGAGGAUCCGAGCGUUCUCCGGAUUUAUUGGGUUUAAAGGGAGCGUAGAUGGGUUGUUAAGUCAGUUGUGAAAGUUUGCGGCGCAACCGUAAAAUUGCAAUUGAUACUGGCAGUCUUGAGUACAGUUGAGGUAGGCGGAAUUCGUGGUGUAGCGGUGAAAUGCUUAGAUAUCACGAAGAACUCCGAUUGCGAAGGCAGCUUACUAAACUGCCACUGACAUUGAUGCUCGAAAGUGUGGGUAUCAAACAGGAUUAGAUACCCCUGUAGUC